GGAGAGAUGGCCGAGUGGUUGAAGGCACUUGACUCGAAAUCAAGCGUGGGGCAACUCACCGGGGGUUCGAAUCCCUCUCUCUCCGCCA
rnacentral:tRNA from 1 species